CCCGCAUGCUUUCUCUCUCUCUCAACAAAUACAUCUUUAGAAAAAAUAAGUGUACAAUCUGAUAAGAUUUAUGUAUUAUACACUCAUAAAACCACUUACAAUAAUAAGGGCAUCCACAAUCCCCCUCAUUUUCUCAUGGUUCUUUGCAGUCCACCCCAUCACUCCUUCCACCCUUGCAUCUCCAGGCGACCACUGAUCUGCUUUCUGUCUCUGUAGAGACUCUUGACUUACCUAGAAUUUUAUAUAAAUGGAAUCAUGCAGGCUGUACCCUUUUUUUACUUCUUUCUCUCAGUCUAAUUAGUUUGAAAGCUAUCCUUGCUAUAGUAGGUGUCAAGAGUUCAUUUCUUUGUAUUAAUCAUUAGUAUUCAUAUAUGGGUAUAUCACAGUGGGUUUAUCCAUUUAUCUGUUGAUGGAUAAUGAAUUGUUUCCAGUUUGGGCUAUAACAAAUGGCCAUUACCAUUCCUGUGCAAGUCUUUAUAUUUCCUGUUCUCUUAUUUAAAUACCUGGGAAUGAAAUGGCUGAAUCAUAGGUGAAUUGUAGGUUUAAUUUUUUAAGAAAUAGUCUAAUUCUUUUCCAAAUGUUUAUGCCAUUUUAUAUUCCCAUCAGUGGCGUACGAGAGUUCCAGUUCCUCCACCGUCUUGCCCACGCAUUGUAUAGUCUUUUCAUUUUAGUCGUCCUAGUCAGUGUGUAGAAGUAUAUUAUUGUGACUUUAAUUAAUUUAAUUUUCAUGUGUCAUUGUCUAGUGACAGAUGAUAUAGAACACUAUUUAAAUAUCUUUUUUAUACAUUUUUUGUACAUUUUUUAUUCAGUUGCUUUUUAAAUUUUUGAGUCUUGAGAAUUCUUUAUUUAAGUAUUCUAGAUUCAAGUUCUUCAUUAAAUAUAUGCUUUGCAAAUAUUUUGUCUCAGUUUUGGCUUUUUUUUUUCCUUAACAGUAUCUAUUGAAGAAUAGAGGCUUUUAAUUUGAAGGAGGAGAAUUUGCGAAUUUAUUUUUUGUGAUUAUAUCUUUGGUAUAACAAAGAUUUUCUUCAAACUUCACUGCAAAAAAAUGUUAUGGACCUUAGGUUUCACCUUAUGCCUAUGAUCCAUUUUGAGUUAAUUCUUAUAUAUAGUGUAUAGUAUGGAAAAAGGUCAUAUUAUACAUAUGGAUAUUCAUACAGUUGUUAUUCCAGAACAACUUAAUGAAAAGACUGUUUUUUUCUCCACUGAUUUGCCUUUGCACCUUUGUCAAAAAAACAAUCACCUGUGUAUGUGUGGGUUGAUUUCCGGACCCUCUGUUCUCUUCCGUUAACCUAAUUGUCUUACACCCAUGCUACACUGUCUUCACUUCUGUCGCUUUAUCAUAAAUCUAGAAAUCAGGUAGUGUCAUUCCUCCAGUUUUGUUCUUCCUUUUGAAGUUGCUUCAUUAACUCUCGUUUCUUUGCAUUUCCAGGUGAAAUUUAGAAUCAGUUUUUUCAAUUGCUUCAAAAUUUGCUGGGAUUUUGAUGGGGAUUUUCUUGAAUCUAUAAUAUCAAGUUGGGGGAAAUUGACAUCUUUAAUGAAUCUAGUCUUUUGACCCAAGAACAGGCAUCAAAUACUAAGAAAUGCUCAGUUUCUGCAAGCCUACUAUGAGUUAAACCUUAGAAUGCAGAGAUGAAAAGUCAAGAUCCUGAUUUCAAGGACUGCCAGCUGUGACCAAAUAAGAAGCUUGGUUAAUCUUCCUCCCAAAAAAAGUGAUUAUAAAGCUGGAAAAAAAAAAAAAAGAAAAACUUAAGUGUUG